UAAUACGGAGGGUGCGAGCGUUAUCCGGAUUCACUGGGUUUAAAGGGUGCGUAGGUGGACAGGUAAGUCAGUGGUGAAAUCUUCGAGCUUAACUCGGAAACUGCCAUUGAUACUAUCUGUCUUGAAUGCCCUGGAGGUAAGCGGAAUAUGUCAUGUAGCGGUGAAAUGCUUAGAUAUGACAUAGAACACCGAUUGCGAAGGCAGCUUACUACGGGGUGAUUGACACUGAGGCACGAAAGCGUGGGGAUCAAACAGGAUUAGAUACCCUGGUAGUCCACGCCCUAAACGAUGGAUACUCGACAUACGCGAUAUACUGUGUGUGUCUGAGCGAAAGCAUUAAGUAUCCCACCUGGGAAGUACGACCGCAAGGUUGAAACUUAAAUGAAUUGACGG
rnacentral:rRNA from 1 species